ensembl:lncRNA
GGCGAUUGGAAGACUAUCCAAUCAGAAAUGUGCUCUGUCUGUAGCUCAUUUUGUAUUAUCAGGAUUGCUGCCAUCUGAUUGGUUGACGUCUUUAGAGGGUGGGGUUCUGGAGAGAGGUCAUGUGGAAGAUAGGAAACCAGCUUAUAGCACUUGUGGGACAUAUUUUUUUAUCACAUUCUUUGCCAUUUCAAAUUUAAUAGCAAAGACUGCAUUAGAAUUGGCUGUAUCAGAAACAGGUGGCACUUGUAGAGCCGUUCUGCCGCUCUCUGAUGAAUGAGUUGAGUGAGGGAUCUUGUUAAGUGUGUUUUUAUCUGCUUCAUCUGAACUCGGCCUUGAACUGCUGCUUCCUGGGGGAACAAGUCAUGCAUAAUUAAGAGCUGUUGCAGAUAACAGUGCCUGUCUGUUUGCUUGUUUUACUACACAGGCACUACAAGUAAAUCCUCAUCAGUUAAAAACCAGCUUUGUGUGGACAAUCCUUUUAUUUAACAUCCCUAAAACACAACGCAGAGGAACAACCGCUACAAAACUGGUGCCGUGACCCGCCGACUGGUUGAUCGUUGUCGACCGCUGGGAUUGCUGACGUGGUGUGUGACUACCGAUGAGGGGGCUG